UGCCACUGCCUGUCAUUCUCUUUUAAUAGAAAGAACAUGCCUGGUGCUCUAUGUCAAACCUGUCUGAUCAUAAAUGUGCAUUGCUUUCUGGCACGCCAAGUCUCGGUGAACGCCGAGCUGAAUUUACAUUUUGCUGGACCUGUUAGCUGUAGAAGAGCUUCGGCAUCUUAUCUUUUGAUGUUUAACCUGUGAUCCAUUCAGGUAUGAUCCGUUAAUGUAUUUUCAGCUGCGAGUAUAUUGCUACGAACGUUCUAGAACUAUGAGGGGAUGAUUCAGAGAUAUAAUUGAAUGUGCACAUUAGUUGAAUAAUUUACGAUUGAAAUAAUU
rnacentral:lncRNA from 1 species